AACGAACGCUGGCGGCAUGCCUAACACAUGCAAGUCGAACGAAGCCUUCGGGCUUAGUGGCGCACGGGUGCGUAACGCGUGGGAAUCUGCCCUUAGGUACGGAAUAACUCAGGGAAACUUGUGCUAAUACCGUAUGAUGUCGAGAGACCAAAGAUUUAUCGCCUAGGGAUGAGCCCGCGUAGGAUUAGCUAGUUGGUGGGGUAAAGGCCUACCAAGGCGACGAUCCUUAGCUGGUCUGAGAGGAUGAUCAGCCACACUGGGACUGAGACACGGCCCAGACUCCUACGGGAGGCAGCAGUGGGGAAUAUUGGACAAUGGGCGAAAGCCUGAUCCAGCAAUGCCGCGUGAGUGAAGAAGGCCUUCGGUUGUAAGACUCUUUUACCCGUAGAUGAUAAUGACAGUAUCGGGAGAAUAAGCUCCGGCUAACUCCGUGCCAGCAGCCGCGGUAA
rnacentral:rRNA from 1 species